rnacentral:rRNA from 1 species
CAGUCGCCGCGGUAAUACGAAGGGUGCAAGCGUUACUCGGAAUUACUGGGCGUAAAGCGUGCGUAGGUGGUGGUUUAAGUCCGUUGUGAAAGCCCUGGGCUCAACCUGGGAAUUGCAGUGGAUACUGGGUCACUAGAGUGUGGUAGAGGAUAGUGGAAUUUCCGGUGUAGCAGUGAAAUGCGUAGAGAUCGGAAGGAACAUCUGUGGCGAAGGCGACUAUCUGGGCCAACACUGACGCUGAGGCACGAAAGCGUGGGGAGCAAACAGGAUUAGAUACCCCCGUAGUCCCUGUCUCUUAUAC